AGAGCGAACGCUGGCGGCAGGCCUAAUACAUGCAAGUCGAACGGAUCCUUCGGGAUUAGUGGCGGACGGGUGAGUAACACGUGGGAACGUACCCUUUGGUUCGGAACAACUCAGGGAAACUUGAGCUAAUACCGAAUGUGCCCUUCGGGGAAAAGAUUUAUCGCCAUUGGAGCGGCCCGCGUCUGAUUAGCUAGUUGGUAGGGUAAAGGCCUACCAAGGCUACGAUCAGUAGCUGGUCUGAGAGGAUGAUCAGCCACACUGGGACUGAGACACGGCCCAGACUCCUACGGGAGGCAGCAGUAGGGAAUCUUGCGCAAUGGGCGAAAGCCUGACGCAGCGACGCCGCGUGGGUGAUGAAGGCCUUCGGGUUGUAAAGCCCUGUGGGGAGAGACGAAUAAGUCGGAUCUAAUAACUCCGAUGAUGACGGUAUCUCCUUAGCAAGCACCGGCUAACUCUGUGCCAGCAGCCGCGGUAA
rnacentral:rRNA from 1 species